UACUUUGGAACAUUAUUUUGAAGGUUGGA
rnacentral:piRNA from 1 species